rnacentral:misc_RNA from 1 species
GAUGAAGAACGUAGCGAAACGCGAAAUGUAAUGUGAAUUGCAGAACCCCAGUGAAUCAUCGAAACUUUGAACGCACCUUGCGCUCUGUGGUAGUCCGCAGAGCAUGCCUGUUUGAGUGUCGCGCCCCCCUCUCAAGCCCCCGUUUCGCGCAAGCGAGGCGCGGCGGCGUUGGAUCGUGGCCUCUGUCGGCUUGCUCGAGUCGAAGGCCGAAAGCGAACGAGCGCCCUCGGGGCGCGCGGCUUGACCGGACCGAUUGUACGCACCCUUCGGAGCCGGGACGCGUUCCCUGGACGCUGCGAACUGCGAUUGCACCAUGACACUUUGACCUCAAAUCAGGCAGGACGACCCGCUGAACUCAAGCAUAUCAAUAAGCGGAGGA